rnacentral:rRNA from 1 species
AGGACGAACGCUGGCGGCGUGCUUCACACAUGCAAGUCGAGCGGAAAGGCCCUUCGGGGUACUCGAGCGGCGAACGGGUGAGUAACACGUGAGUAACCUGCCCCUAACACCGGGAUAGCUCCGGGAAACUGGAAUUAAUACCGGAUAUGACCACGGUCGGAAUCGGCCACGGUGGAAAGGACUCCGGUUAGGGAUGGACUCGCGGCCUAUCAGCUAGUUGGUAGGGUAAUGGCCUACCAAGGCGACGACGGGUAGCCGGCCUGAGAGGGCGACCGGGCCACGACUGGGACUGAGACACGGCCCAGACUCCUACGGGAGGCAGCAGUGGGGAAUAUUGCGCAAUGGGCGAAAGCCUGACGCAGCGACGCCGCGUGGGGGAUGAAGGCCUUCGGGUUGUAAACCCCUUUCAGCAGGGACGAAGCGCAAGUGACGGUACUGCAGAAGAAGCGCCGGCUAACUACGUGCCAGCAGCCGC